rnacentral:rRNA from 1 species
AAAAACAUCGCCUUCUGGCAUUAUAGAAGGUCCAUCCUGCCCAGUGAUUUUAAUUCAACGGCCGCGGUAUCCUGACCGUGCAAAGGUAGCAUAAUCAUUUGCCUUUUAAUUGAAGGCUAGUAUGAAAGGACAAACACGAAUAAACCUGUCUCUUACGGUUAAUUAAAAACUAGAACUCAGGUGAAGAUACCUGAAUAUUAAUAAAGGACAAGAAGACCCUAUAGAGCUUUAUUAGUAAAGGCAUACCAAACCCCUACUAAUUUGGUUGGGACAACCCAAAGACACUACUACCUCUUUUAUUAUUUAUUACCACGCAAACCCUUACUAGAUAAAGAAUUAAAGCUACCUUAGGGAUAACAGGCUAAUCUUACUAGAGAGACCACAUUGACAGUAAGGAUUGGCACCUCGAUGUUGGCUUAGUGAAACUAUUAGACGCAGCCGUCUAAUUUAGUCGGUUUGUUCAACCGUUAAACCACUACAUGA